UACGGUCGAUGAUAUUGACACGGACUUUCUCUUGUCAAUUAGGUUUUUUUUUAGGCUAUUGACAAGAUAUCCGCUUGGUGGCGCUGCUUGAGUGACUGACGGCAAAAACAUGAAUGUGCACGAGAGUGCUUUGGCAUUGUGAUAUGUUAGUUACAGAGUUGUUUGUUUUUUUCCUUCGUUGAAGGAUUUCAGUUUAACCUGAAUCAAUUGUUUAUUUCGACUUUCGACAGAUUGUACAGGUUUGCGGCAAGUUGGACAGAUGUAUUCCAGUGUUGUUUGAUUUCGUUCAUGAACUAGUGAUAAAUUUGAAUAGUAUCUUUUUAAAUUAGUGAUAAGAUUAUUUUUACUGUUUGUCAUUAGUUGUUUCCAUCCUUCUUCAGUGAAUAGGUUUUCAAAUGAUUGUAAUACGCUUUGUACAUCAUCUUCGAUAACUGCUGUACUCAUUUGGGUGGCAUGGGUGAGAUGUUUUCGAUCAGCUUUUUGUUGGUUGAGUAACAGGUAGUUAGCUUUCUCUUUUCCUGUUAUCCAUGAAAGAAACACUAGAAGAAUAGUAAUUCUUAGAAUAAAAUGUAUAGAAUUUUCAAAUUAUCAUGUAGUUUAUACUUCUAUUUUUCUCGUGUGAUUUUUUUUUUUCAGGAAUGGUUUGGGACUGUACUUGUAUUUAUCAAGCUUUUUAGUUGUUCUUGGUUUACCCUGUCGUCUUUUUAUGUUUACAAGUUUCAAUUGUUUUAGUUUCUUCAAUCUUUCACUCUUUUUUUUGUUGACGUCAGGUACGACUACGAGUUCAUUCACUACUUCUGUGAUUUGUUGAACCUCUGUUUCCAUUAGCUUUUGUUCAUCUAUAUUAUGCUGAUUGGAAUUUAGUUCUUUCGCCAUUUUCGUGAUAUCGUCUGUAGUUGGAAAAUGAGAUUUCUUCAAUUCUAUUAAUGUUAAGUUAUACACUUUUGCCACAGGUUACCUUCUAUGUUUAAAGCUAGUUGUUCGUGUGUUUCGCAUGCAGUGGAAUUUGGUAUGGCUAUUGGCAUAAAUGGCUCAUUCACAAGGUUGGUUGCCUCUUUCUCUUCUGUUGGUAUGAUCUUUUCGUCUGUAAUUGGAAAACGAAAAAGUUAAAUAAACCGGUUUGUAAGA